UAAGGGGCGUCGAUCGCAAGGUCUUAUGCAACCGGAAGCUGCGAACCGUGUCAGGAUAGGGAUAUAGCAGCACUAAACAGUCCGAAGGUGUGCCAUAAGGUAGCUUUGCGGGAGUCACCUGCAGGGUUUAACGCUUCGGUCUGCCGCGGCAAAAGGGACCUGC
rnacentral:SRP_RNA from 1 species